rnacentral:lncRNA from 10 species
CUGACCUGCGCCCACUGUCUGGCCCUCCCUAGUGAGAUGAACCCGGUACCUCAGAUGGAAAUGCAGAAAUCACCCGUCUUCUGCGUCGCUCACGCUGGGAGCUGUAGACCGGAGCUGUUCCUAUUCGGCCAUCCUACCUUUCUUCUUAAAUUUUCAGAUGUCAGGGUUGCCCUUCUCUUUUUCAAGAGAAACAAAACAAUAACAACAAAAGCAUCACCAUCAUCAUCAUCGUCAUCAUCAUCAUCAUCCACUCUUUUCUGACCCAGGGAUUUGUGGGAAAAAGAAGGAAGAAGAGCAACAUAGUUCACUCUGUAUUUCUUUUUUUCAAAAUUUAUACAUGUUGUUCAUGAAUCUCUGGCUAAUUAUUUUUAAUGAAAUACAAUAUUACUUUUCAUAAUAUUGCAACUUUUUCAUACAUUCUCUUGCUGAUGGACAUUUAGAUUACCUUAUGUUUAAUUAUUACAAAUGAUUUGUCUUAAAAUUUCUGAGCUAUUUCUCCUGUUCUCACGUAAAGAUAGUGUUUUAAGUUUGCAUAUACAUCUACUACUAGGUUAUAGAGAAGGCAUGCAUGCCUUCAAAUUACUAGAAAUGAAGAAAUAACUUUCCAAAAUGCUUUUAUUAUUUUGAAUCCUAUCACUGAAAUGUAAUUUCUAUUUAUAUUUCAUAUGUUUAUUCUAUUAAUGUUUCAUAUUACCAGAUGCUUACAUGUUAAAAUCUUAAUCUGAUGAUAUCUUAGUAUUUUUCCUAUAGAAGUCCUUGCAGAAAGUUUCCUUUACCAUGUCUAGAGAUGAGGAGAAAAAAGUAUAAAUAGAUGCCCCUCAUUCACCUCUGUUUCAUAGUUUGAAAACAGAUGCAUCAUAAGCUAUCCCUCUUUCAGCUUUAAUUCAAGCUGAACUGUUUUCCCCAAGCUAUAAGCCCAUGGCCACUCUCUGAAGCAACUUGCACAGCUCAAUACAAAAUAAACAAGAACUUUGUUUUGAUUUGUGUUUUGAGAGGGGGGGUGAGAUUAGUCUUAAUUUUGUCCCCUCAGAAACAAAUAUACAACAAAUAAGGUAAAUCUAAAUGUCGUUGAAGCCUAAAGAUGUAAGAA